rnacentral:lncRNA from 1 species
UUUACGUGGUUCGGUCAAUUGACCUACAUCCACGGACGAAGGAGGAGCAAAUCACUACUAUAAAAGAGGGACUAUUACAAAUGCCUUAGGAAGAUGUUCCUAGGCCAUAAAACACCCGAAUCUAUUAAACAAGAAAAAUCCAAACUAUAAGCCCAAACUAUUUAAUGGAGUGUGGACUUAAACACAAAGCAAACACUUAGGUUUUUCUUG